rnacentral:rRNA from 1 species
GACAGAGGGUGCAAACGUUGCUCGGAAUUACUGGGCGUAAAGCGCUCGUAGGUGGCCAACUAAGUCAUACGUGAAAUCCCUCGGCUUAACCGGGGAACUGCGUCUGAUACUGGAUGGCUUGAGGUUGGGAGAGGGAUGCGGAAUUCCAGGUGUAGCGGUGAAAUGCGUAGAUAUCUGGAGGAACACCGGUGGCGAAGGCGGCAUCCUGGACCAAUUCUGACACUGAGGAGCGAAAGCCAGGGGAGCAAACGGG